rnacentral:rRNA from 1 species
CGAGCACGCGCGUGUGGCAUAUCAAUAAGCGGAGGAAAAGAAACUAACAGGGAUUCCCUUAGUAACGGCGAGUGAAGCGGGAAGAGCUCAAAUUUGAAAUCUUCAAGGUUCUACCUUGACGAAUUGUAGUUUAUAGAAGUGUUUUCUGUUAGUAGAGUGGCAAAAGUUCUUUGGAAUAGGACAUCAUGGAGGGUGAGAAUCCCGUAUUUGGUCAUUCUUUCUAGCUUUGUGAUACACUUUCAACGAGUCGGAUUGUUUGGGAAUGCAGUCCAAAAUGGGUGGUAAAUUUCAUCUAAAGCUAAAUAUUGGCGAGAGACCGAUAGCGAACAAGUACCGUGAGGGAAAGAUGAAAAGAACUUUGAAAAGAGAGUUAAACAGUACGUGAAAUUGUCAAAAGGGAAGCGUUUGACACCAGUGUUGUUUUUCCGAAAAUCAAUUACGAAUGUUUUAGUUUUUAAGAAGUUAUGACUUCAUCGGCUUGCUUCUCUCUUUACUGAAACUUUCUUAAUGCACUUUUCGGUUAACAAGUCAACAUCAAUUUCUUUUGUUGUAAAAGGGUAUGAGGAAGGUGGCUUUCUUUUCGGAGAAAGUGUUUAUAGCCUUGUACCUCUGCAAUCGGAGAGAUUGAGGUCUGCAGCGUAGAUCCUUCGGGGUUAGAUACAUUUGUGCUAAGUUAUAGCUUUUCAUAGACAACUUGUUGACUAUGUUUAGUCUUGUAGCUUACUCGCUUAUGCUAUUUUACCUACGCUUAGGAUGUUGAUGUGAUACUGCGAGCA